rnacentral:lncRNA from 1 species
AUGUAGAAAAUGUGUGAAAAUCCAUCUCAAAAAGCCUUGAAAUAAUGAGAAUAUAUUACUUGAUAUGAAUUUAUAGGUCAUUUACUUAGGUUUCUACAUCAAUUUAUUGAUCCUUAGACUCUAAGUUUGAGAAAAAGUUUAAGACGGGUUAUUUAGAUGACACUUAUCUUCCUCUUGUUUUAUUCAUCUUAUAUGGAAAUACAUUACUUUUGCCUGUCACUUUUGUUAAUUAGCUUUAUCAAUAGGCAUAAACUGUAUAGCAAGCUGAAAUAACUGGAUCUUAUGUGGUAUCUUUUAGCUACAUCAUUUAAGGCAGUUGAUAUUUCUAUAAACAACAUUUUUAUGCACUUUCAUGUUUGUGGUUAACCUGUUAAAGCUAUUCUUCCCUUUUGUAUUUCUCUAUGUCAUUAUGAGGCAGUGUCUAAAGAAAAGAUACAUUUGACUGAUAAAUCCAAGGUUAUCCAACAUUAAGAAAAAAACAUAUAUAUACCCCAAAGGUUCAAUCUAAUGAUAUCAGGAUCUAGGAAUGAGGAGGCCUGGUCCCAUAAACCCCUUGAAAACAAUACAUUUGAUGAGGAACUUUUAAUAACUCUCAUCCUUAGCAAUCAUUUGUAUGAAGAGUUCAGUGAGUCAUAGCUGACCAGGGAAAUAUCUCACAACAAUGCAGUCUGAUAGCCAAGCACCCUGCUUUCAUUCCUUGUAAAGUAAAAAACACUUGUCUAAACACUCUCAAUGUAACACCAUUAUUCUCUUUUUUUCUUUUUGAAUGGUAAAUGACAGUAUCAAAAAAUCAUGGAAUUAAAAUAGCAGCUCCUUUCUUUUUCGUGCAUUUUUAUCUAAAUGAAAUCUGCCAUACUUCAGGGCCUAUGUUCAGUGUGAUACUUUUGUGGAGGCUCAGUCUAUAGCCAAAACUGUGUGUGUUGAUACUAAGAUUCUGAAAACCUUCAUUUUUUUAUCUUUCAAUUCUAUUCAUUAUACUGAGACAUUUAUUUUCCAGAAGCAAAAAGGAUGGAUGUUAAAGUUUUUUUUCUGAUUUGUACUUUUGAUUCACGAUCUGAUUUUUCAUAAAGAAGCCUCGACAGGGUUUGUUUUCCUAUUGAAGAUCUCACAUUCAAGUCUUCACUGUCAAGAGCAAGCAGGGGAUAGAAUGUACCAAGUAACUUAGCAACCAUCCAAAUUCCAUCCACAUUCCAGGCCUGUGCUCCAGUUCUAUGGGAAACACCAUUCAAUCCAGAAAUAGACAAGAAAGAGGGUUGAAACCUUCAUGACAAUGCUAGAGAAUUAACAGUGAGAGAUGCAUUAAGCAACAACACAGUUUUGCCUUUUACAAGCUCCCUGAGGUUUUUAUUUCAGUCAGAGGACCAAGAUUUCAGUUCAAGUCACUGGAAGAAAAGAGCUGUCAUUUAUGGUAAGAGAACAAAUUUAAGGAGCAGAGGGAAUUAAAAGUUCAGUUCUGACAUGUUAAGUUCCAAACACCUUAAUGGGUGUUUUCUCCAAAAGAGGAUUAUAGUCAGCAAGUAAUUUUCAGGUGAGAAGGUGAGAGGGGUGAAGGAGAGGUAAAAUGCUUGAGCCCCAAGGCAUGCCAGCCUUUAGACACCUAAAGAUGAGCAUGAAUGAGCUAAGGAGACUGAAAAACAGGUCAGUGAUAGGGAUAUGCUAAAAGUUCAAGAAAUUAAGUGUUAAAAAAGAAGAGUGAUCAACUGAACAAGUACCGAAAUAGGUAGGCAAGAUGACAACGAUAUUGAUUCUGGUAACAGAAAAGUCUUUGGGACAUUAACAAGAGGCCUUCAGAGCAGUGCACGGGACAAAAGUCUGAUGGGAGGGCCUUCUAGGGUGACUGGAAAGGCAGGGAGAUCCCUUUUGUUACUUCCGGUGUGUAGCAGGAAAAGUAAUUAACAUAUGGAGAAUUCACAAUCUUGCACUGCCUUUAACUUUGUGAUUUUCGAUGAACAUUUACAAUUAAAAAGUUAAGCUAUAUGAUCUUUACCCUUCAUUUGAACAUUUUCUAGUCUAUAAUCCCUCCUUAAAUAAUGCUUUCCCAAAUUUGACUUUAGUUUCUUAACUGUUUUUUAGAUUUAAAUAUGCCUGCUUUCUCUGCGUUCUGUUCUCUAUCUCUCUCUCUUCCCCCCACCGUGUGUGUGUGUGUCUGUGUGUGUCCGUGUGUGUGUUGCUGAGUCUCCCUUUAAGUCAGGUAGAAGAGGAAAACUACCAUAUUACCAUUAAUAAGUCCAUUAUAAAUUAUGAGCUAAUAUUAUUUAAAACAUAGAUGAAAAUAAAAAAUUCAAAACUUUUGAAAUGGGAAACAAUCAUGAAAUUUCUGUCCAGGCUAUUUUCUAUGACAUUAUAAAACUAAAUAGCCCCUCCUGAAUUUAACAUUACUAUUUUGUCUUAGGCUUUUUAAAAAAUACAGAUAUGUAGGCAAAUAAUUCUUCUACUCAAACAUAUCCCUACUUUAUAAGGUGGCUUUCGUGCCACUUACUGAGUAAUUUUAUAUUCGUGAAGUGCUUUGAGCUACGCAGGAAAUCUGUGAAAAAUGAAUAAAGAACCAGCUAUGUCUUCAAUUUACUCCAAGAUGGAAUGAAACUUUUCAUCCUGAUUAGGGAAUAAAUAUUAAAUAUAGAUAAUCUUGGAUUCAUGUUAUGAUGUGAACCUGUAUGUCUCUCUUUCACUGACAAAAUAUACAGAAACACUUUAUGGGACAUUAAUUCUUAAAAACCAUGUCAAAAUAUAGGUCCAUGGUGGAAUCAUUCUAAGGUGGCUCUCCAGUGCAUCCUGCAAGGGUAGGGUAGGGAGGAGGCCCCCCAGCCUCUGUGUCCUAGCCUGGUAGCAGCUGUCGUCUGGGCAGCAAGGAUGACUCACAGGGCUGAGAUCCCACCAGGCUCUUGCACCGGGGAGAGCCUUGGAGAGCUGAGUCAUGAGCCAGGAUAAUAAGCCAGAAUUCACUUCCAAAUCUGACUCAGAGCACAGGAGCUACCGAGACCAAAACAUGUGGCCACUUGGGUGUAGCAUUUGGUGCCCCUUCAAAUCAAUGUUCUUUAAUACAUGGUAAGAGACAGGACAUUCUCUUCUAUUGCUCAGAGCAAUUUAGCUCUGGUAACACGCUUAAAACCUCACCCAGCAAAACUGAAGCUUUCCAACUAUAUUCCCAUCCUCCUGAGAAGGUACUUUAGGAAUAAGGGCCAUAUAUUGUUACUAAAACAUGACUCUACUGUGACCAAGGCAUACCCCUCUUAUUUCCUCUUUUACAUAGACUUUAAACUGUAGACUAUAAAGAAUAGACUUCACUUUUAGAGCUGUUUAGGUUUAUAGAAAUAUUGAGCAGAAUGUAUAGAGUAAUAUACCCCCUCGCCUACUCCAGUAUAGUUUCCCUUAUUAGUAUCUUGCACUAGUCUGGUACAUUUGUUACAAAUGAUGAAUCAAUAUUGAUACAUAAUUAACUAAAGGCCAUAGUUUAAAUUAGAAUCAACUCUUUGUUGCACAACUCUAUAGGUUUUGAAAAAUGCUUAAUGUCAUACAUUCAUCAUUAUAGUAUCAUACAAAAUAAUUUCACUGUCCUAAAAACCUAGCAUGCUUUACCUGUUCAUUUCUCCAUUUUCCUUUUGAUGUAGUUUAUCAAAGUAUUCCUUACAAACGUUAUCCCUCUCAUCACAUUUUCAGUGAUGUUUCAUUACCGGGGAGGUAUUUUAGUAUCCCUUACAGAGAAACAACUAUCCAGCUGGUCCAAUAGUAAUCAGAUUCUCACUCUAUGGAUGGAAAAAUUGCCAGCUUCCCUUUCAAUCUUACUGAAAUAGAAUUUCAAAAAUUAUGUCUAACAAGUGAGAAGGUGAUAGGUGAUUGCCAUGGUGGGAAUAUGUCCCACAAAGUUCAUGUGUUGGAAGCUUAAUUCCCCAUGCAACAGUGUUGGGAGGCAGGGCCUAAUAAGAGGUAAUUGAUUAGGUCAUGAGGACUCUGCCCUCAUUAAUGGAUUAAUGUCAUUAUUGAGGGAGUGGAUUUGUUAUUACAAGAGUGGGUUGUUAUAAAAGUAAGUUUUGCCCCUUCUUGCUCUCUCUUACUCUCAUACUGUCUUGCCCUUCCACCUUCUGCCUUGGAUGACACAGCAGGAAUGCCCUCACCAGGUGUUGUCACCAUGGUCUUGAAAUUCAAGAUUCCAAGAUUCCAAGAUUUUGGAUUCUCUAGAAUCAUAAGACAAAUAAAGUUACAUUGCUUACAAAUUACCCAGUCUCAAGUAUUCUGUUACAUAGAGUACUCAAGAAUUUUCUUAAACACAAAAUGGACUAAAUAUGACUAGUGUUUAUACUCAAGUUUGAAGAACAGCAAGAAAGAUGAGCUCUCUACUUACAGGUAAAUUGUCUUGUGAUUAUUUCCACAGAACUCUGACUUGGAUAAGGUGAGCUAUGCUGUUAUAUAUGUCUAAACAAAUAAAUCUUCACACAAAUCAUAAAGGUCCAUUGAAUUUAAAUGAUGUGAACUCCAGAACCCUGUUCAUAAAGUUUUAUCCUAUAUCCACUCAUGGAUUAAUCUGGACCAAAUGAUCAAGGAUACGCAGAUUACAUGCCUGGUUUGAAUUAACCCAGAAGGAAAGCCUGCUCUUCAUGAGUCUGAGAUACUAAGGAAUGCACAUGUUUACAAUUCUCAAUAAUGCAUAUUUCACAUUAAUUCCUAAAAUAUAAUAUAAUAUGUAGCAGGCAUUAGUGUGAUACAUUUGUUUGUAAGUGUAAGGAUUGCUGCAUGUUUAUUAAUUGAGGCAGAAAUUAAUCUUAGAAUGCAUUAUCUCUGAUUUUACUUUUAUUCUAAAAGGAAGACAGAAUAAUUUCUGAUCUGGUCAUGCUUAGAGAAAUAAAAUCUAAAAAUUGAAACAUAAGCAACCCAAACACAGAGAUGGUAGAGGGAAGAAUUAUAUUGAGUCUAUUUUAAAUAUUGAAAAGUGAAACAGAUUAUCAGAAGCCAAACUUUGUAAGCCUGCAAUUUUUUUCUUGCUUAAUUUCAUAAGCUUUUGACACUAAAUGAAUGCACAUUUAAUCUCUUGAUGUUUAUUUAAUUACAGACUUGUAUCCAUUUUAUUACGAUGUUCUUCUUUUUUACAAUUUAGUUCCCCAGAGGGCAAGACCAAGGUCAGUUUAAUCUGAAGUCUUUCGUACUUGAUAAAAAUGUCACUGUAAUGAAAACUUGACCGCAAUUAUAAAGAUGACAUCAUUAUGAUGAUGAUUAUGAUAAUAAUGAUGACGAUGAUGAUGACUUUGCCAUUGCUUUGCAGAAAAGGCUACCUAAGAUCGGAACCCUCUGAUAAUUUGUGCUGCUAUUUUAAGAUCCAGUUCCAUUCUACAACUGGCUGAAGCAUGAAGUCAACUAAAAUAAACUGAAUUGAGUGGAACUGAACUGAACUGAAGUGAAAUAAUGUGAUUUCCAGUAAACCUGACACCUUAAGGACAGAACAUGAGCCUUGCCCAUCUUCCUCCCAGAGGUCCCAGCACAAUCACCGACUCACACAAUACUCUCAGUGCAUGAGUGAUGAAUUUCACUAACAGCGACCCAUCUCUCUACAUAAUCCACUCCGGUUUCACCAGAGCUGAGAGUAUCAUGAAUUACAUCUAUAGAUAGCUGUAAGCUAAUGACCAAAGCACAUAACUGAAUUCAAACAUAUUCUUUAUUGCAGUCAGAUGUGAGAAAACAAAAUUUAGAAGACAAGCCAGAAAGGAAAUGAAGAACAUAAAGAGCCUGAAUUCUCAUCGUCAAUUUUUCCCUGACUGACUCCGUUUUCCUCUCUUCUUUCCAUUUACCUUUCUGUUCCCAUCCCCAUCAUUUUUGUAGUGUUUAUUGAGUGUCUGCUGCAUGCCAGUCAAUGUGCUGAGUACUUUUCAUGUGUUAUACCAUUUGAUCGUCACAGCAGCACACUAUUAUAAUUAUGAAUAUGAUUCCACAUACUAUAUCUAAAAUUUAACUUAAUUUUACAUAGGAGGAAGCUGAGACUUGCCCAAGACUACUCCAUUAGUAAGAUGUGAACCAAGUGAACCAUGUCUGACUCAAACCUAACCCCUGAUUCUCUGAAUCCAUAUCACCGUAGAACUCAACAGUGAAAUAUUGGGGUAGAGGUAAUGCUAUUAGUACACAAACUAUGCACAGAUUUACAAGCAACUAAACAGGAACUCAUGGCCAGGCACAAUGGUUCAUGCCUGUAAUUCCAGCACUUUGGGAGG